rnacentral:rRNA from 1 species
UACAGAGGUCUCAAGCGUUGUUCGGAUUCAUUGGGCGUAAAGGGUGCGUAGGCGGCGCGGUAAGUCGGGUAUGAAAUCUCGGGGCUUAACUCCGAAACUGCAUUCGAUACUGCCGUGCUUGAGGACUGGAGAGGAGACUGGAAUUUACGGUGUAGCGGUGAAAUGCGUAGAUAUCGUAAGGAAGACCAGUGGCGAAGGCGGGUCUCUGGACAGUUCCUGACGCUGAGGCACGAAGGUCAGGGGAGCAAACGGG